CUCAGUAACGGCGAGUGAAGCGGCAACAGCUCAAAUUUGAAAUCUGGCUCUUUUAGGGUCCGAGUUGUAAUUUGUAGAGGAUGCUUCGGCGUCGGCUCCGGUCUAAGUUCCUUGGAACAGGACGUCAUAGAGGGUGAGAAUCCCGUAUGUGAUCGGUCGCCCUUGCCAUGUGAAGCUCCUUCGACGAGUCGAGUUGUUUGGGAAUGCAGCUCUAAAUGGGAGGUAAAUUUCUUCUAAAGCUAAAUACUGGCCAGAGACCGAUAGCGCACAAGUAGAGUGAUCGAAAGAUGAAAAGCACUUUGGAAAGAGAGUCAAAAAGUACGUGAAAUUGUUGAAAGGGAAGCGCUUGCAACCAGACCUGCCUGCAGUUGCUCAUCCGGGCUUUCGCCCGGUGCACUCUUCUGCUGUCAGGCCAGCAUCAGUUCGGGCGGUCGGAUAAAGGCUUCGGGAAUGUAGCUCCUCUCGAGGAGUGUUAUAGCCCGUUGCGAAAUGCGGCCAGCCUGAACUGAGGUCCGCGCUUCGGCUAGGAUGCUGGCGUAAUGGUUGUAAGCGGCCCGUCUUGAAACACGGACCAAGGAGUCUAACAUCUGUGCGAGUGUUUGGGUGUCAAACCCGUACGCGUAAUGAAAGUGAACGGAGGCGGGAACCCCUCGGGGUGCACCGUCGACCGAUCCUGAUGUCUUCGGAUGGAUUUGAGUAAGAGCAUAGCUGUUGGGACCCGAAAGAUGGUGAACUAUGCCUGAAUAGGGUGAAGCCAGAGGAAACUCUGGUGGAGGCUCGCAGCGGUUCUGACGUGCAAAUCGAUCGUCAAAUUUGGGCAUAGGGGCG
rnacentral:rRNA from 1 species